AUGUGGCCCGCUUCCAAGUGCGUCUGCGAUCCGGCCACCCACGCCGGGUCCUUCAAGUGCCGCUUCCACCGCACUAACUCCCAGGGCCAGGGAAGCCGCCCUUCUUCGCCCCCUUCACCGGCCGCGGCCAACGCGGUGCCGCGGCACCCGGCCUUGCCGUUCUCGUCCUCCGGGAACUACCUGAGAGGUGGGAGGGAGUACGAAAAUAAACCGUCUCGGCUGAGCGGGAGGUGGGAGCAAGUACCAAAGAAGUACCAAAAAAGAUCGGGAGUGGGUGCUGAGAGGAAGGAUGGCAAACCUCCAUUGUCAAUCGGCCGGAGCUACAUCGUCAUUUGGAUCAGAGCAUGGACAAAAUCGAGAUGGGGCUACCACGCUUUCCUCGCCGCCAUCGCCUGUCGAUGCCACUUCAGCGCCACGAGAAUGGGACUGAGGGACGAAGGGAAGAGAAGGGAAGGAAGCGAGCUAAUGACGUACCUAUGUUUGGCUGAGGGCGAUGCGAUUUGCAACAAGAAGAUGCAGAUCUUCGUCCUCCUCCCGAAGCCUAACGAUCCCAAGUUCCCCAACCGCCUCGCGCUGAAGGUCUCGGCCGGAGACACGGUCGCGAGCCUUAAGGCCAGGAUCGAGAAAGCCGACCGGGUGCCACCAUGGCGGCAGCGUCUCGUGUUCGCCGGCUCGGACCUGCCUGACGGCCGCGCCACGCUGGCCGAACUCGGCCUCGUCAACUUGUCGACGGUGCGCCUCGUGGAGACGAACAUGCAGGUGUUCGUCCGGGUGGUCGAGUGUAUCAGUUUCUACGACAUCGCAAGCAGCGACACCGUCGAGAGCUUCCGGUCAAGGUUGCAUGAGCGGGUGGGCUGUCCUCCGGUGCAGCAGCGCCUCAUCCACGCCGGCAGGCAGCUGGAGGACGGCCACACCCUCGCCGACUAUGGCGUGCGGAACGAGUCCACGCUGCACUUCAUUUGCCGGCCCGCCUAUCAGAGAAGAAGGAUGGUCGAGCUGUACAUUGAGGUUAGAGACACGGUGGGCAGGAUCAAGGAGCGCCUGCAGGAGGCCGAGGGGGUCCCGACGGAGUGCCAGAGGUUCUACCUCCAUGGAAAGGAGCUGGACGAUGGCCGCGCGCUCGCGGACUACGACGGUGCCUUGGAGAGAAAAAUUCCUGUGGUUGUUGACUGCCAACGGUGCUGGCCGGAGAGUGACCGCACCACGAAGACGAAGAAGGGAAAGGUGCCGCCGGUUGUCAUUGCAGGAACGCUUAAGAGACACACAGACGUUGAGGUCGGUACUGUGGGGAAAAAGUUCAAGAUGGGGCCCGAUCAGGUGGAGGAGAUUCAGGCCGUGAAGUGGAGGGGCUUCACCGUUUUUCUGAUCGAUCCGGCGCCAGAACAAUAA
rnacentral:rRNA from 1 species